rnacentral:misc_RNA from 1 species
AACUUUUAGCAACGGAUCUCUCCUCUUUGGACAACUUUCAACAACGGAUCACUUGGUUCUCGCAUCGAUGAAGAACGCAGCGAAUUGCGAUAUGUAAUGUGAAUUGCAGAAUUCAGUGAAUCAUCGAAUCUUUGAACGCACCUUGCGCCCUUUGGUAUUCCGAAGGGCAUGCCUGUUUGAGUGUCAUUAAAUUCUCAACUUCAAAUUUCUAUUUUGAAGCUUGGAUGUUGGAGGCUUUGCAGGCAUUUAUUUUGCCAGCUCCUCUUAAAUGCAUUAGCAGAACUUGUAUGUUCGGCUCUGGUUUGAUAAUACUAUCUAUGCCAUUGCUGAAAGGUCAUUGUUCAGCUUCUAAUUGUCCAUUGCAUUGGACUGUCCCUUUGGAGGCAUAACCUUUUGACUUGACCUCAAAUCAGGUAGGACUACCCGCUGAACUUAAGCAUAUCAAUAAGCGGAGGCU